AGCAGCCGCGGUAAUUCCAGCUCCAAUAGCGUAUAUUAAAGUUGUUGCAGUUAAAAAGCUCGUAGUUGAAUUUCGGGAUUCGUAGAUUGGUCAUGCCACGGGUAUGUACUGGUCUUACUGAUUCCUCCUUCCUGAUGAACCGUAAUGCCAUUAAUUUGGUGUUGCGGGGAGACUGGACUGUUACUUUGAAAAAAUUAGAGUGUUUAAAGCAGGCUUACGCUUGAAUACAUUAGCAUGGAAUAAUGAAAAUAGGACGUUCGAUCCUAUUUUGUUGGUUUUCUAGGAUUGACGUAAUGAUUAAUAGGGAUAGUUGGGGGGCAUUAGUAUUCAAUUGUCAGAGGUGAAAUUCUUGGAUUUAUUGAAGACUAACUACU
rnacentral:rRNA from 1 species